AAGAGACAGCAGCAGCCACGGUAAGACAGAGGAUGCAAGCGUUAUCUGGAAUGAUUGGGCGUAAAGUGUCGGUAGGUGGCUUUUCAAGUCCGCCGUCAAAUCCCAGGGCUCAACCCUGGACAUGCGGUGGAAACUACCAAGCUAGAGUACAGUAGGGGCAGAGGGAAUUUCCGGUGGAGCGGUGAAAUGCGUUGAGAUCGAAAAGAACACCAAUGGUGAAAGCACUCUGUUGGAUCGACACUGACACUAAGAGACGAAAGCUAGGGGAGCAAAUGGGAUUAGAUACCCGAGUAGUCCCUGUCUCUUAUAA
rnacentral:rRNA from 1 species